rnacentral:lncRNA from 1 species
CCGAACAGCAGCUUAUCUUCUUGAGGACAAAUUUCCCAGAUCCUGCAGCAAUCUCUUGCCUUGAAUGUGAAGCUCAAAAAUUGCACAAAUGUAAUGCAUGCAAAACCUCGCAGACAUACCCUACUUUUUCCACUUAGAAUUUUUUAGCACACACCUUCAUUAAGGCCACAUUGACUUACCUACAGAAGCCACAGUCCAGCAACUGGUGAUCAAGGCAUUACUUUGCACCCAA